rnacentral:rRNA from 1 species
AAGUACCGUCAUUUAUUGGAUGAUAUUAACACCCAUAAAUUCGUCCUUGCUGAAAGGGCUUUACGAUCCGAAAACCUUCAUCACCCACGCGGCGUCGCACCAUCAGGGUUUCCCCCAUUGUGGAUGCCUCUCG